CAAAAUGACUCUCGGCAACGGAUAUCUCGGCUCUUGCAUCGAUGAAGAACGUAGCAAAAUGCGAUACUUGGUGUGAAUUGCARAAUCCCGUGAACCAUCGAGUCUUUGAACGCAAGUUGCGCCUGAAACCAUUAGGUUGAGGGCACGUCUGCCUGGGUGUCACAC
rnacentral:rRNA from 2 species